UACGGAGGGGGCUAGCGUUGUUCGGAAUUACUGGGCGUAAAGCGCACUAGGCGGCUUUGUAAGUUAGAGGUGAAAGCCCGGAGCUCAACUCCGGAACUGCCUUUAAGACUGCAUCGCUUGAACGUCGGAGAGGUAAGUGGAAUUCCGAGUGUAGAGGUGAAAUUCGUAGAUAUUCGGAAGAACACCAGUGGCGAAGGCGACUUACUGGACGACUGUUGACGCUGAGGUGCGAAAGCGUGGGGAGCAAACAGG
rnacentral:rRNA from 1 species